rnacentral:rRNA from 1 species
GAUGAACGCUGGCGGCGUGCCUAAUACAUGCAAGUCGAGCGAACAGACGAGGAGCUUGCUCCUCUGACGUUAGCGGCGGACGGGUGAGUAACACGUGGAUAACCUACCUAUAAGACUGGGAUAACUUCGGGAAACCGGAGCUAAUACCGGAUAAUAUAUUUAACCGCAUGGUUCAAUAGUGAAAGACGGUUUUGCUGUCACUUAUAGAUGGAUCCGCGCCGCAUUAGCUAGUUGGUAAGGUAACGGCUUACCAAGGCGACGAUGCGUAGCCGACCUGAGAGGGUGAUCGGCCACACUGGAACUGAGACACGGUCCAGACUCCUACGGGAGGCAGCAGUAGGGAAUCUUCCGCAAUGGGCGAAAGCCUGACGGAGCAACGCCGCGUGAGUGAUGAAGGUCUUCGGAUCGUAAAACUCUGUAAUUAGGGAAGAACAAAUGUGUAAGUAACUAUGCACGUCUUGACGGUACCUAAUCAGAAAGCCACGGCUAACUACGUG